AUUGAACGCUGGCGGCAGGCUUAACACAUGCAAGUCGAGCGGAGAGAGGUAGCUUGCUACUGAUCUUAGCGGCGGACGGGUGAGUAAUGCUUAGGAAUCUGCCUAUUAGUGGGGGACAACAUUUCGAAAGGAAUGCUAAUACCGCAUACGUCCUACGGGAGAAAGCAGGGGAUCUUCGGACCUUGCGCUAAUAGAUGAGGCUAAGUCGGAUUAGCUAGUUGGGGGGGUAAAGGCCUACCAAGGCGACGAUCUGUAGCGGGUCUGAGAGGAUGAUCCGCCACACUGGGACUGAGACACGGCCCAUACUCCUACGGGAGGCAGCAGUGGGGAAAAUUGGACAAUGGGCGCAAGCCUGAUCCAGCCAUGCCGCGUGUGUGAAGAAGGCCUUAUGGUUGUAAAGCACUUUAAGCGAGGAGGAGGCUACUUUAGUUAAUACCUAGAGAUAGUGGACGUUACUCGCAGAAUAAGCACCGGCUAACUCUGUGCCAGCCGCCGCAGUAA
rnacentral:rRNA from 1 species